UUUUUGUAUUUAUUUACUUAUUUAUGGACUGUAAUUUCAUUUUCCGAUAAAGUAUUAUACAUAAGGAUCAUAGUCCUUUCUAUUUUUCAGUUUUGGUAAUUUGGCUGGGUUUGAAGAGCCCGCAACCUCAUGCUUGCAAUUUGGGUGCCUUCAACACGAGCUAUCAACUUGAACCCCCGUUGUUUCAGACUUAUAAUUUUCAAAUUUGCAGAAACAGGGGUCUCUUAUUUUUGAGAGAAAUAUGCUUUUUCGAAAAAAAAUUUAUGUACAGUUCUGAUCGAUCACGAUCAUAUGACCACAUACACAAACAAGCACACAGGGCUUUUAAUUUGAGAACCGCAAGAUGCACAUAGGGCGAUCCAAUUUCCAUUCAUAACCAGAGAUAUGAAUCAGCCACUACUCUGCUUUGACAACACACAGAAAUGGCUUGGCUUAAGAAUCCCUUUACAAAUUUUCCGUAGUAGUGAGGAUUAAGUUUAGAUAACACAGCUAAGUAAUUACAGAGGGUGUUUUAGGUGCACAUUGUCUACAUGGGAGAGAAGCACCAUGAAGAUCCCGAUGUUGUCCGGGACUUGCACCAUAGCGUACUCACAACACUGCUCGGCAGCGAAGAAGCAGCUCGGGAGUCAAUGGUGUACAGCUACAGACAUGGCUUUUCAGGCUUUGCUGCAAGGCUAACAGAAAAUUAAGCAAAGAUCCUUUCAGGCUUUGAAGGUGUGAUACAUGUGAUCCCAAACCACAUAUACGAGCUACACACAACUAGAAGCUGGGACUUCCUUGGCCUCAGCCCCAAGUUACUUUCAGCCCUUCUUCAUAAGGCCAACUCAGGUGACGGAUCAUCGUAGGCGUUCUUGACACAGGCAUGUGUUUAUUCUUCUUCUUUUGUCCUUUUUUUUUUUUGGCGUCGAUAAGAUGGGAAUUAAAUCAAUGAUUCAAAAGUUCUUGAUCCAUCUCAAAAUUGGGUGGGUUAGUUUUAAGACUUAAAAUCCUUCUUGUUAUAUCCACUUUCCUAUGAGUUUUUGAAUUGCGCCCCACUAUAUAGUUUAAGAUUGACACAUACAAAUCUUUUCUAUUUUUCAAUUCCAAAAAUAUAAUAAAAUAUUGUAGAAAUUUUUCUUAUGAAAAUAAAUGAAAAAUAAAUUUAUUGCACCCAAAAAAGAGAUGAUAUAAGUGUGGGUGUUACUGAUUAAAAAACUUAGGUCAAUAACUACUUUCAAGCACGAGGAUAGACUUUGACGUAUCACUUUGACGUCUUUUGUGCCUAUCCCAAACUUUCCCUUAAUUAUUUUAAAUUUUCACAUCUUUUUCCAUUAGUAUUAUUUAAUAUUAAUAAUAUGUCACCCCAAAAUUAGAGACGAAUAGUCUAACCUCAAUAAAAGAUACUAUCUUUUACAUCUUAAUUAAAAAAUGCAUCAAGACUUUCACACGCCAUGCAUCGUGUGCUUACUAAGAAAGAGCCUAAACCCUUGAAUCCUACCGUAAAAGUUCAGGUAACCAUCAAGGACUAGAAAAGUUACAAGUUUAGUAAGAGAUAUUGAAAAAUUCAGUGUAAUAUUGACAUUUAGAAAAAGUUCUGUAUAUUUUAUAUUUUAAGCGGAAGUACCUCUUUAUUUAUUGUCAUAUUAACCCCAGUUUGGACGUCCAACAUCCGAACCGGGUCAAGUGAAAGGCGACUUCGGUUGGAUGUUUAGACCAAUUAGUUUUUUGCAUAAGCACUGAAAUCAAGGGUUCAAUAUAUUAACAUUCUUUUGGCCAAAAAAAAUAAAUAAAAACGAGUCAAGUAAGUUCAGACAUCCACUAUAUGAACUAGUGUUAUACUAAAAAUAGGACAAGUGACUUAUUCUUUGUUUUUUUUUUCUUUUUUUGUGUGUGUUUUUUUAGCGUGGGUUGGAUUGAAUAUUUGUCCAAACUGCAGAAAAUUCUGGAUGACCUCUCUUCAAUCCAAAAUUUGUAUUCCUAUUUUACCAUAGAUAUUUCUCUAUCAAAUAAAUUUCAUUAGAAACUAGACUCAUAAUGGAAGUCUAAAAACCUAGUGUGAGCUAUAAAAAAUUCUGUUAAGAAUAUAAAUAAAAUCAUGACUUCCAAGUCAUGGAAAUAGUUUUCAUUGUAGAAAACAACACUUGUACACCCUACAAUAAGUCACAAUAAAACUUCAACGAGAAAUAAAAUCAUAUGAUUGGUGGGAAAAAUCACGCAACUCAAUAGGCAGUUCCUGGAUUUUGUAGGGUCAGAACUGACACCCUUCAUCGUUGAGUUCAUAACUCUCAAUUCCCUUAGGAUCUCCCAUUAAAAUUUUGCAGGAAGAUCCUACUCUUAAAGACACACAAUAUCACUGAAGUAUGUAAUAGAAAAAUACCUCAUUAUAUUUUUCAUA